GAUGAACGCUAGCGGCAGGCCUAAUACAUGCAAGUCGAACGGUAAGGCCCUUUCGGGGUACGCGAGUGGCGGACGGGUGCGUAACGCGUAUGCAACAUACCUUCAAGCGGGGGAUAUGCCAGGGAAACUUGGUGCAACACCCCAUAGCAUUUCGGGACCGCAUGGUCUUGGGAUUAAAUAUUUAUAGCUUGGAGAUUGGCAUGCGUGACAUUAGCUAGUUGGCGGGGUAACGGCCCACCAAGGCGACGAUGUCUAGCUGGUCUGAGAGGAUGAUCAGCCACACUGGGACUGAGACACGGCCCAGACUCCUACGGGAGGCAGCAGUAGGGAAUAUUGGACAAUGGGGGGAACCCUGAUCCAGCCAUGCCGCGUGAGGGAAGAAGGUCCUCUGGAUUGUAAACCUCUUUUGGCGGGGGACAAACCUGCACUAUACGUGCAGCUGAGGGUACCCGCAGAAUAAGCACCGGCUAACNCCGUGCCAGCAGCCGCGGU
rnacentral:rRNA from 1 species